AUACGGAGGGUGCAAGCGUUAUCCGGAAUCAUUGGGUUUAAAGGGUCCGUAGGCGGACUAUUAAGUCAGAGGUGAAAUCCCACAGCUCAACUGUGGAACUGCCUUUGAUACUGGUAGUCUUGAGUUAUAUGGAAGUAGAUAGAAUGUGUAGUGUAGCGGUGAAAUGCAUAGAUACUGCACAGAAUACCGAUUGCGAAGGCAGUCUACUACGUAUAUACUGACGCUAAGGGACGAAAGCGUGGGGAGCGAACAGGAUUAGAUACCCUAGUAGUCC
rnacentral:rRNA from 1 species